GCCAGGCGCGGUGGCUCACGCCUGUAAUCCCAGCACUUUGGGAGGCUGAGGCGGGUGGAUCACCUGAGGUCAGGAGUUUGAGACCAGCCUGGCCAACAUGGUGAAACCCCGUCUCUA
rfam:Gorilla gorilla gorilla genomic chromosome, chr12, whole genome shotgun sequence